UGCGUAAUAGCUCACUAGUCGAGUGACACUGCGCCGAAAAUGUACCGGGGCUAAACAUAUUACCGAAGCUGUGGAUUGUCCUUUGGACAAUGGUAGGAGAGCGUUCUAAGGGCGUUGAAGCAUGAUCGUAAGGACAUGUGGAGCGCUUAGAAGUGAGAAUGCCGGUGUGAGUAGCGAAAGACGGGUGAGAAUCCCGUCCACCGAUUGACUAAGGUUUCCAGAGGAAGGCUCGUCCGCUCUGGGUUAGUCGGGUCCUAAGCUGAGGCCGACAGGCGUAGGCGAUGGAUAACAGGUUGAUAUUCCUGUACCACCUAUAAUCGUUUUAAUCGAUGGGGGGACGCAGUAGGAUAGGCGAAGCGUGCGAUUGGAUUGCACGUCUAAGCAGUAAGGCUGAGUAUUAGGCAAAUCCGGUACUCAUUAAGGCUGAGCUGUGAUGGGGAGAAGACAUUGUGUCUUCGAGUCGUUGAUUUCACACUGCCGAGAAAAGCCUCUAGAUAGAAAAUAGGUGCCCGUACCGCAAACCGACACAGGUAGUCAAGAUGAGAAUUCUAAGGUGAGCGAGCGAACUCUCG
rnacentral:rRNA from 1 species